rnacentral:rRNA from 1 species
AUUGAACGCUGGCGGCAUGCCUUACACAUGCAAGUCGAACGGCAACACGGGUGCGUGCACCUACUGGCGAGUAGCGGACGAGUGAGUCAUCCAUCGGUACACAUCCUGUAGGGGGAAAGCGCCGGGAGCUAGGCGGAUACCUACUGCAUACGAAGCACGAAAGAGAGGGGGGGACCUUCGGUCUUUGCGCUCUCGGGUUGGCCGAUGGCGGAUUAGCUAGUUGGUGGGGUAAAGGCCUACCAAGGCGACGAUCAGUAGCCGGUCUGAGAGGACGACCAGCCACACUGGGACUGAGACACGGCCCAGACUCCUACGGGAGGCAGCAGUGGGGAAUUUUGGACAAUGGGCGAAAGCCUGAUCCAGCAAUGCCGCGUGUGUGAAGAAGGCCUUCGGGUUGUAAAGCACUUUUGGCCGGAAAGAAAUCCUGGGCUCUAAUACAGGCAGGUAAUGACGGUACCGGAAGAAUAAGCACCGGCUAACUACGCG